GGGCGCAGCCUGAUCCAGCCAUGCCGCGUGAGUGAAGAAGGCCUUCGGGUUGUAAAGCUCUUUCGGCGGGGAAGAAAUGGUGUGGGUUAAUACCCUGUGUUGAUGACGGUACCUGAAGAAUAAGCACCGGCUAACUACGUGCCAGCAGCCGCGGUAAUACGUAGGGUGCGAGCGUUAAUCGGAAUUACUGGGCGUAAAGCGUGCGCAGGCGGUUUUGUAAGACAGAUGUGAAAUCCCCGGGCUUAACCUGGGAACUGCAUUUGUGACUGCAAGGCUGGAGUUUGGCAGAGGGA
rnacentral:rRNA from 1 species